UAGGAACCGUGAGAUUAAGCCAUCGCGGCAGGUGCUCACGUUAAGCCCACUGACUUUCAUGUCCCUAUCUACUAUCUAGCGAAACCACAGCCAAGGGAACGGGCUUGGAAUAAUUAGCGGGGAAAGAAGACCCUUUUUGAGCUUGACUCUAAUCUGGCAGUGUAAGGAGACAUAAGAGGUGUAGAAUAAGUGGGAGAUAUUAGACUUCGGUUUGGUAUCGACAAUGAAAUACCACUACUCUUAUUGUUUCCUUACUUACUUGAUUAAAUGGAACGUGUAUCAUUUCCUAGCCAUUAUACGGAUAUAAUUAUUAUGUCUUAUGGUAUUGGGUUUUGAUGCAAGCUUCUUGAUCAAAGUAUCACGAGUUUGUUAUAUAAUCGCAAACAAAUUCUUUAAUGAGAGAAUGCAUUUAUGUAUUAUUGAUUUAAAAAUUUGGUAUAACUCCAAUUACUCAGGUAUGAUCCAAUUCAAGGACAUUGCCAGGUAGGGAGUUUGACUGGGGCGGUACAUCUCUCAAAUAAUAACGGAGGUGUCCCAAGGCC
rnacentral:ncRNA from 1 species